AAUGAACGUUGGCGGCGUGGAUUAGGCAUGCAAGUCGAGCGCGAUGGUUUCUUUUGCUUGCAUUAGGAACCGGAAAGCGGCGAAAGGGAGAGUAACGCGUAGAUUAUCUACCUCUAGGACCGGGAUAGCGGCGGGAAACUGCCGGUAAUACCGGAUAAUAUCUCAGGAUCAAAGGUGAGAUUCCGCCUGGAGAUGAGUCUGCGUCCUACUAGCUUGUUGGUAAGGUAACGGCUUACCAAGGCUUUGAUGGGUAGCGGGCGUGAGAGCGUGGCCCGUCUCACUGGGACUGAGACACUGCCCAGACACCUACGGGUGGCUGCAGUCGAGAAUCUUCCGCAAUGGGCGAAAGCCUGACGGAGCGACGCCGCGUGGUGGAUGAAGGCCUUCGGGUUGUAAACACCUGUCAGAAAGGUGGAAAUGCAUUGGGGUUAUCCCCAUUGUUUGACCUAAUUUCAGAGGAAGUCCGGGCUAAGUUCG
rnacentral:rRNA from 1 species